CAGAAGGUUGACCUCGGAUCAGGUAGGACUACCCGCUGAACUUAAGCAUAUCAAUAAGCGGAGGAAAAGAAACAACAGGGAUUGCCCUAGUAACGGCGAGUGAAGCGGCAACAGCUCGAAUUUGAAAUCUGGCCUCGGCCCGAGUUGUAAUCUGUAGAGGACGCUUUUGGCGCGGUGCCUUCCGAGUUCCCUGGAACGGGACGCCACAGAGGGUGAGAGCCCCGUAAGGUCGGACACCAAGCCUGUGUAAAGCCCCUUCGACGAGUCGAGUAGCUUGGGAAUGCUGCUCUAAGCGGGAGGUAUACUUCUUCUAAAGCUAAAUAUUGGCCAGAGACCGAUAGCGCACAAGUAGAGUGAUCGAAAGAUGAAAAGCACUUUGAAAAGAGGGUCAAAUAGUACGUGAAAUUGUUGAAAGGGAAGCGCUUGUGAUCAGACUCGCGCCGGGCGGAUCAUCCAGUGGUCUCCACUGGUGCACUCCGGCCGGCGCGGGCCAGCGUCGGCUGUUGCGGGGGGACAAAAGCUCUGGGAACGUAGCUCUCUCCGGGGAGUGUUAUAGCCCUCUGCAGAAUACCCCCGCGGCGGCCGAGGUCCGCGCAUUGCAAGGACGCUGGCGUAAUGGUCAUCAGCGACCCGUCUUGAAACACGGACCAAGGAGUCGAGGUUUUGCGCGAGUGUUCGGGUGCAAAGCCCCAACGCGUAAUUAACGUGAACGUAGGUGAGAGCUUCGGCGCAUCAUCGACCGAUCCUGAUGUAUUCGGAUGGAUUUGAGUAGGAGCGUAAAGCCUCGGACCCGAAAGAUGGUGAACUAUGCCUGUAUAGGGUGAAGCCAGAGGAAACUCUGGUGGAGGCUCGCAGCGGUUCUGACGUGCAAAUCGAUCGUCAAAUAUGGGCAUGG
rnacentral:rRNA from 1 species